rnacentral:rRNA from 1 species
GCUCAGGAUGAACGCUAGCUACAGGCUUAACACAUGCAAGUCGAGGGGCAGCAUGGUCUUAGCUUGCUAAGGCCGAUGGCGACCGGCGCACGGGUGAGUAACGCGUAUCCAACCUGCCUUACACUCUUGGACAGCCUUCUGAAAGGGAGAUUAAUACAAGAUGUUAUCAUGAGUAAGCAUUUUCGCAUGAUUAAAGGUUUACCGGUGUAAGAUGGGGAUGCGUUCCAUUAGAUAGUAGGCGGGGUAACGGCCCACCUAGUCUUCGAUGGAUAGGGGUUCUGAGAGGAAGGUCCCCCACAUUGGAACUGAGACACGGUCCAAACUCCUACGGGAGGCAGCAGUGAGGAAUAUUGGUCAAUGGACGAGAGUCUGAACCAGCCAAGUAGCGUGAAGGAUGAAGGUUCUAUGGAUUGUAAACUUCUUUUAUACGGGAAUAAACGGAUCCACGUGUGGAUUUUUGCAUGUACCGUAUGAAUAAGGAUCGGCUAACUCCGUGCCAGCAGCCGCGGUAAUACGGAGGAUCCGAGCGUUAUCCGGAUUUAUUGGGUUUAAAGGGAGCGUAGAUGGGUUGUUAAGUCAGUUGUGAAAGUUUGCGGCUCAACCGUAAAAUUGCAAUUGAUACUGGCAGUCUUGAGUACAGUUGAGGUAGGCGGAAUUCGUGGUGUAGCGGUGAAAUGCUUAGAUAUCACGAAGAACUCCGAUUGCGAAGGCAGCUUACUAACCUGUAACUGACAUUGAUGCUCGAAAGUGUGGGUAUCAAACAGGAUUAGAUACCCUGGUAGUCCACACGGUAAACGAUGAAUACUCGCUGUAGGCGAUAUACAGUCUGCGGCCAAGCGAAAGCAUUAAGUAUUCCACCUGGGGAGUACGCCGGCAACGGUGAAACUCAAAGGAAUUGACGGGGGCCCGCACAAGCGGAGGAACAUGUGGUUUAAUUCGAUGAUACGCGAGGAACCUUACCCGGGCUUAAAUUGCAACCGAAUAUGGCGGAAACGCUAUAGCUAGCAAUAGCGGUUGUGAAGGUGCUGCAUGGUUGUCGUCAGCUCGUGCCGUGAGGUGUCGGCUUAAGUGCCAUAACGAGCGCAACCCUUGCCGAUAGUUACUAACAGGUUAUGCUGAGGACUCUGUCGGGACUGCCAUCGUAAGAUGUGAGGAAGGUGGGGAUGACGUCAAAUCAGCACGGCCCUUACGUCCGGGGCUACACACGUGUUACAAUGGGGGGUACAGAGGGCUGCUACCACGCAAGUGGAUGCCAAUCCCAAAAACCUCUCUCAGUUCGGAUUGAAGUCUGCAACCCGACUUCAUGAAGCUGGAUUCGCUAGUAAUCGCGCAUCAGCCACGGCGCGGUGAAUACGUUCCCGGGCCUUGUACACACCGCCCGUCAAGCCAUGGGAGCCGGGGGUACCUGAAGUGCGUAACCGCAAGGAGCGCCCUAGGGUAA